rnacentral:rRNA from 1 species
CGAACGCUGGCGGCGUGCUUAACACAUGCAAGUCGAGCGAGACCCACCUUUCGGGGUGGUGUUCUAGCGGCGAACGGGUGAGUAACACGUGGGCAACCUGCCCUCAGCUCUGGGAUAACUCCAAGAAAUUGGGGCUAAUACCGGAUAUGACCGCUGACCGCAUGGUCUGGUGGUGGAAAGAUUUAUCGGCUGGGGAUGGGCCCGCGGCCUAUCAGCUUGUUGGUGGGGUAGUGGCCUACCAAGGCGACGACGGGUAGCCGGCCUGAGAGGGUGACCGGCCACACUGGGACUGAGACACGGCCCAGACUCCUACGGGAGGCAGCAGUGGGGAAUAUUGCGCAAUGGGCGGAAGCCUGACGCAGCGACGCCGCGUGGGGGAUGACGGCCUUCGGGUUGUAAACCUCUUUCAGCAGGGACGAAGCGAAAGUGACGGUACCUGCAGAAGAAGCACCGGCCAACUACGUGCCAGCAGCCGCGGUAAUACGUAGGGUGCAAGCGUUGUCCGGAAUUAUUGGGCGUAAAGAGCUCGUAGGCGGUUUGUUGCGUCGGCUGUGAAAUCCCGAGGCUCAACCUCGGGUCUGCAGUCGAUACGAGCAAACUAGAGUGUUGCAGGGGAGACUGGAAUUCCUGGUGUAGCGGUGAAAUGCGCAGAUAUCAGGAGGAACACCGGUGGCGAAGGCGGGUCUCUGGGCAACAACUGACGCUGAGGAGCGAAAGCGUGGGGAGCGAACAGGAUUAGAUACCCUGGUAGUCCACGCCGUAAACGUUGGGCGCUAGGUGUGGGGCUCGUUCCACGAGUUCCGUGCCGCAGCUAACGCAUUAAGCGCCCCGCCUGGGGAGUACGGCCGCAAGGCUA